rnacentral:rRNA from 1 species
UACGUAGGGUGCAAGCGUUAAUCGGAAUUACUGGGCGUAAAGCGUGCGCAGGCGGUUAUGUAAGACAGGUGUGAAAUCCCCGGGCUUAACCUGGGAACUGCAUUUGUGACUGCAUAGCUAGAGUACGGUAGAGGGGGUUGGAAUUCCGCGUGUAGCAGUGAAAUGCGUAGAUAUGCGGAGGAACACCGAUGGCGAAGGCAAUCCCCUGGACCUGUACUGACGCUCAUGCACGAAAGCGUGGGGAGCAAACAGG